rnacentral:ncRNA from 1 species
GACGGACUCUAAAAUUCCUGAUGCACAAUCAGGAUACGAAAAAGGAUACACUGUUUCACUAGCAGCACAUUCUGGAGCAAAUAUGGUGUACGAAUCU